rnacentral:rRNA from 1 species
UACGAAGGGGGCGAGCGUUAUUCGGAAUCACUGGGCGUAAAGAGUGCGUAGGCGGUUGUGAAAGUUAGAAGUGAAAGCCCAGGGCUCAACCCUGGAAUUGCUUUUAAUACUCCACAACUCGAAUUCGGGAGAGGAUAGCGGAAUUCUCAGUGUAGCAGUGAAAUGCGUAGAUAUUGAGAGGAACACCAGUGGCGUAAGCGGCUAUCUGGACCGACAUUGACGCUGAGGCACGAAAGCGUGGGGAUCAAACAGG